CAAUUCUUUGCUUCCUUCUGAAGUGACAUCGCUGACCAUCAGAAGCAGCACGGAGGUUCUUCGGUGAAGAUGACAGCACGGAUGAACUCCCUGCCGCAUAAUUUGACUCCAUACGAGGGCCCGGCGUCCAGCGCCUUUACUCCAGCCAGCAGCAGACACACUACGAGAGCCGAGGUCUUCCACAUCAUACUGAGAGC
rnacentral:lncRNA from 1 species